AGAGCUAGUUUAAUUCCUUUUUAACUUGACCAACAAAACAAGAAAUAUCCAGAAAACAGCAAGACCCCGCCUGUGGGCUUGUUUCUCACAUUAGAUGCAUUCAAACCUGUGCUGCUGCUCUACAGCUUGAUUGUGUGAAGCGACAACUCAAACGCUGCUGCAAGUUGUUACCAUGCAAAUGCUUCCACAUGGGCAACCACGAGUGCCAUGCACGAAGACGUUGCCUAAAUAACUUAUGCGAAGCCAACAUGAGGAGAAGCAACAGAAGGAGAAAGACGUGUUGGGAGAAAAAGUGCACGUGAGAAAUUUGGGGCUGCCUGCGAGGCGUGAGGUGGAAAAGAAUUAUCUUUCUUAAGUACUCCUCAAAAAGAAAGGAAAAGCAUGGCCAUUGGAAGUGCCAAAAUGAGACUCCUCAAUAUUUACAUUUUUUCUCUAUUCAAGAAGAGGAAAUUUGUUGGGGUAGUGGGGAGUACUGAUUCUAGUAAGACUCUCUUUUUAUGUGUCUUAUCUGAGGUAC
ensembl:lncRNA